ensembl:lncRNA
GUAAGAAACAAAGACAUGCGCAGUUACACAAUCACAUUCCACGUAUUUCAUCCGUUGUCAGUGAAGCGCAUACACACCCACUUCUAUGUGUUUAGUACAUAAACUCUCUGGGUUUUUAAUACAGGUAAUCAGCAGAUGUGUUUUAGGGCUGUGAAAUUCCUUGAGAAGAUACACUACAUGCACUACACCAUGCAUUUAUAUGGAAGAUGAAAACUGUUUCACUUUUAAUUAGUUUUUCAACAACAACAACAACAACAAAAAAUUCACAAAGAAGCAGUGCCAUUUUGUCCUAAAUUUGAAUGUUUCCAUUUCUUUUCUUUUCUUUUUUAUUUUUUAAUUUAAAUUUAGCCACAUUAAUGAUUUGUUGUCACUGAUAUUGACCUAAAUUUGACUAUUCUUAUGCUACUUAUGCACCAUCUUCAAUUCAUCUUUACACAGAAAAGCCCAGGGUGAGUACAAAUUGGUUACCCUUUUCACUACAUGUGCUCACUACAUAGGGCAUAACAUAAUGGCACUGUACAAUCUACAGUAUUUAGUGUAUUAUAAGUCCAAUAGAAUACUAUUUGGGGAAAAACAGAGAGACUACGGUUAUGUGUCGAUUGGAAAUUAACUACUUUCAUGUAAUAUCACUAUUAGGACACAUGCUGUUUAGUCUGAACAGAAUAAUAUAGAAUAAAGCACAGCAUAUUUCAAAUAUAUAUUUUACUCUGCACCUUUUCACUGCAUCAAAGGACAAAGGUAAUUUAGCCAGUGCUUUUUGACUGAAAGGAGAACAUGACAUAGGGAAGUUUGUUCUGUUGGCUCCUGUGUGUGUUCCAUUGCUCUCUUCAUUGCAGAGUUCCUUUGUUUAUUUCACUCUUCUCACAGCAAAUCAUUCACUCUUUUAGUUUCCAAAUUACUACUUUGUCAAGUGCACCGACUGCUCCUGCCUCCUCCUGAGCUAAUGAGAGAGCACAAAUACUCGCGCACACUCUGUCACACUUCUACUCCCUUAACACGUAGACAAGCACUCAUGCACAUUUACGCAUGUGAGCAUAUACAGAAGCAAACACAUCAGGAAAACUGUAUGAAAUGUAAAGCACAUCCCCCGCCCCAAACCCAUACACACAAACACAUACAUACCCUGAAGGGAAGUGUGUCUAUUGAUUGUUCUGUCACGUUGCCAUGGAAACCAUGUUAGAUGUAGAUCCGGUGGGAAAUACCCUCUUAGUCAGAGCCAUCAGUGGGAAUGGGACUUGGGGAUUGUGUGUGUGUGUCUGUCACACAUUAGACAUUUUCAGGUUUAUUGAACGAUGCACAAUGUUGAAGUCAGCUGCAAAUGAGCAUCUCUGUCCAGUCCUUACACCGUAAUCAGGAUAGGCUUUAGAGUAAAGCCACACUGACGUCACUGUCUAAAAUCUGGACAACAUUGUUAUACACUACAGGAGUAAUCAGGCCUACACACUGUUGAUAUAGUUUUGGACCACGUCUUCACUUAAGAGAGUUUUUGGGGUGUGUAUAUGUCCAUCUGAGACAGUAUGGUUACAGUGCAUCUUGACAUGUGAGCAACACUCUGAUGUACGAAACACACUAGACAACAGCCUUUUGAUUUUGGUUUGGUGUAGUGUGAUUUAUUUUUGUGCAAAGAGUUCAAUUUUAGUACUAAAAAAGUGUUAGAUUUAAGGAAUGAGAGGUCACGCCUCAUUCAAUAGGACUGCCAGGUACAGAGGCCACAGCCCCUUUACUGGGACUGAUGAGUACAGAGCCCACACCUCCUUCAGUGGGAUGGACAGGGCACAAAGCCCAUGCCCUUUCACUGAGACUGACAGGCACAGAGCCCACGCCUCUUCACUGGGACUGACAGGCACAGAGCCCACGCCUCUUCACUGGGACUGACAGGCACAGAACCCAUGCCCCUUCAAUGGGACUGACAGGCACAGAGCUCAUGUCCCAUCACUGGAACUGACAGGCACAGAGCCCACGCCUCGUUCACUGGGACUGAGGGGUACAGAGCCCAAGCCUCCUUCACUUGGACUGAGGGGUACAGAGCCCACGCCUCCUUCACUGGGACUGUGGGGUACAGAGCCCAUGCCUCCUUCACUGGGACUGAGGGGUACAGAGCCCACGCAUCCUUCACUGGGACUGAGGGGUACAGAGCCCACGCAUCCUUCACUGGGACUGACAGACACAGAGCCCAUGUCUCUACACUGAGACUGACAGGCACAGAGCCCAUGUCUCUUCACUGGGACUGACAGGCACAGAACCCAUGUCUCUUCACUGGGACUGACAGACACAGAGCCCAUGUCUCUUCACUGGGACUGACAGACACAGAGACCAUGUCUCUUCACUGGGACUGACAGACACAGAGCCCAUGUCUCUUCACUGGGACUGACAGACACAGAGACCAUGUCUCUUCACUGGGACUGACAGACACAGAGCCCAUGUCUCUUCACUGAGACUGACAGGCACAGAGCCCAUGUCUCUUCACUGGGACUGACAGGCACAGAACCCAUGCCCCUUCAAUGGGACUGACAGACACAGAGCCCAUGUCUCUUCACCAGGACUGACAGGCACAGAGGCCGCAGCCCCUUCACUGGGACUGACAGGCACAGAGCCCAUGCCCCGUCAUUGGGACUGAAGGGCACAGAGCCCAUGCCUUAUCACUGGGACUGAUAGGUACAGUGCCCAUGCCACGUCAAUGGGACUGACAGGACACAGAGC